rnacentral:rRNA from 1 species
CGACGGAGCCGGGAGCAUCCUGGUGGCGAGUGGCGAACGGGUGAGUAAUAUAUCGGAACGUGCCCAGUCGUGGGGGAUAACGCAGCGAAAGCUGUGCUAAUACCGCAUACGAUCUCUGGAUGAAAGCGGGGGACCUUCGGGCCUCGCGCGAUUGGAGCGGCCGAUAUCAGAUUAGCUAGUUGGCGGGGUAAAAGCCCACCAAGGCGACGAUCUGUAGCUGGUCUGAGAGGACGACCAGCCACACUGGAACUGAGACACGGUCCAGACUCCUACGGGAGGCAGCAGUGGGGAAUUUUGGACAAUGGGCGAAAGCCUGAUCCAGCAAUGCCGCGUGCAGGAUGAAGGCCUUCGGGUUGUAAACUGCUUUUGUACGGAACGAAACGGUUCUCCUUAAUACGGAGGGCUAAUGACGGUACCGUAAGAAUAAGCACCGGCUAACUACGUGCCAGCAGCCGCGGUAAUACGUAGGGUGCGAGCGUUAAUCGGAAUUACUGGGCGUAAAGCGUGCGCAGGCGGUUAUAUAAGACAGAUGUGAAAUCCCCGGGCUCAACCUGGGACCUGCAUUUGUGACUGUAUAGCUAGAGUACGGUAGAGGGGGAUGGAAUUCCGCGUGUAGCAGUGAAAUGCGUAGAUAUGCGGAGGAACACCGAUGGCGAAGGCAAUCCCCUGGACCUGUACUGACGCUCAUGCACGAAAGCGUGGGGAGCAAACAGGAUUAGAUACCCUGGUAGUCCACGCCCUAAACGAUGUCAACUGGUUGUUGGGUCUUCACUGACUCAGUAACGAAGCUAACGCGUGAAGUUGACCGCCUGGGGAGUACGGCC